rnacentral:rRNA from 1 species
CCUACGGGGUGCAGCAGUGAGGAAUAUUGGUCAAUGGACGAGAGUCUGAACCAGCCAAGUAGCGUGAAGGAUGACUGCCCUAUGGGUUGUAAACUUCUUUUAUAAAGGAAUAAAACGACGCACGUGUGCCUUUUUGCAUGUACUUUAUGAAUAAGGAUCGGCUAACUCCUUGCCAGCGGCCGCGGUAAUACGGAGGAUCCGAGCGUUAUCCGGAUUUAUUGGGUUUAAAGGGAGCGUAGAUGGGUUGUUAAGUCAGGUGUGAAAGUUUGCGGCUCAACCGUAAAAUUGCAAUUGAUACUGGCAGUCUUGAGUGCAGUAGAGGAAGGCGGAAUUCGAGGUGUAGCGGUGAAAUGCGUAGAUAUCACGAAGAACACCGAUUGCGAAGGCAGCUUACUAAACUGUGACUGACGUUGAUGCUCGAAAGUGUGGGGAUCAAACAGGAUUAGAUACCCGUGUAGUC